rnacentral:rRNA from 1 species
AGUGAUAAGUGUUAGGGGGGUUUCCGCCCCUUAGUGCUGCAGAUAACACAUUAAGCACUCCGCCUGGGGAGUACGGUCGCAAGACUGAAACUCAAAGGAAUUGACGGGGGCCCGCACAAGCGGUGGAGCAUGUGGUUUAAUUUGAAGCAACGCGAAGAACCUUACCAGGUCUUGACAUCCUCUGACAAUCCUAGAGAUAGGACGUCCCCUUCGGGGGCAGAGUGACAGGUGGUGCAUGGUUGUCGUCAGCUCGUGUCGUGAGAUGUUGGGUUAAGUCCCGCAACGAGCGCAACCCUUGAUCUUAGUUGCCAGCAUUCAGUUGGGCACUCUAAGGUGACUGCCGGUGACAAACCGGAGGAAGGUGGGGAUGACGUCAAAUCAUCAUGCCCCUUAUGACCUGGGCUACACACGUGCUACAAUGGACAGAACAAAGGGCAGCGAAACCGCGAGGUUAAGCCAAUCCCACAAAUCUGUUCUCAGUUCGGAUCGCAGUCUGCAACUCGACGGCGUGAAGCUGGAAUCGCUAGUAAUCGCGGAUCAGCAUGCCGCGGUGAAUACGUUCCCGGGCCUUGUACACACCGCCCGUCACACCACGAGAGUUUGUAACACCCGAAGUCGGUGAGGUAACCUUUUAGGAGCCAGCCGCCGAAGGUGGAACAAAGAGGGU